rnacentral:tRNA from 10 species
GGGGGCAUGGCGGAAUUGGUAGACGCAAGCGACUUAAAAUCGCUUGUCCUGAAAAGGACGUGGGGGUUCAAGUCCCCCUGCCCCCAC